UGCCAGCAGCCGCGGUAAUACGGAGGGGGUUAGCGUUGUUCGGAAUUACUGGGCGUAAAGCGCGCGUAGGCGGAUUGGAAAGUUAGAGGUGAAAUCCCGGGGCUCAACCCCGGAAGUGCAUUGGAUGCUGGUAGUCUUGAGUAUGGGAGAGGAAAGUGGAAUUCCGAGUGUAGGAGUGAAAUCCGUAGAUAUUCGGAGGAACACCAGUGGCGAAGGCGGCUCACUGGCUCGGUACUGACGCUGAGGUGCGAAAGCGUGGGGAGCAAACAGGAUUAGAUA
rnacentral:rRNA from 1 species